rnacentral:rRNA from 1 species
CCGUAGCCUUGUAGCGGGGGAUAACUAUUGGAAACGAUAGCUAAUACCGCAUAACAAUGGAUGACACAUGUCAUUUAUUUGAAAGGGGCAAUUGCUCCACUACAAGAUGGACCUGCGUUGUAUUAGCUAGUAGGUGAGGUAAUGGCUCACCUAGGCGACGAUACAUAGCCGACCUGAGAGGGUGAUCGGCCACACUGGGACUGAGACACGGCCCAG